rnacentral:lncRNA from 1 species
UCGCAGUCCUCCGCUUGGCGUGCAGAAGGCCACGUACCAUUGGCGGGUUUCUUCGCCACGUGAUGUUUGGAUGACCGGCUUGCUGCUACACGCCCCACCUCCCCGAAUGUUGGAGCACGCCCCAGAGGUGAGGCAGGUGAGGCAGGAUGAGCCAUUGUGGAGCUGUAACUGACUAUACCCCAUCUUUCUGAUGUGAUAUCAGAGGCCACAGCUGCUUAUCCCAAGUGGCCCUUCUGUGGUAGGUUACAGCCCAGUCCUGCCUCCUUGGGUCUGACAGGAUUUCUGGGCCUCUUUUCCUUGCCUGUGCCAUCUGUAUACUACCUGUGCAUAUGGGUGCAAGGGCCAGGAGUGUCCCCUGAAGGCAGCCAGAUACCAGAAGCCACCUUGCCUUCCAUGGGCCAAGGAAAGACUCUACCACUGGGCUCCAUGGCUGAUGGCAGGACCUAGCACACCACUCAUGCCAAAGGAAGGAAGCCCAACCUCUGCCUUCAGAAGACUACGGUCAUCAAGCACCACCAGCUGCUGUCUGAGUCAGGGCUGCUGAAAUCUGAGCCCAUCCACAGGCACCACAUGUGGAUCCAGAUCCUACAGGCCUGGGCCACUGCCACCAAGAUGCGGUGGGACUCAAAGCACAAGUGGGUCGACCCUGUGUGCUGUUGUGUGGCACAAGUUGGGUGAACUCCCAAAGGUGCCUCUUGGCCCAGCCUCUGGCCUCAGCUCUGUCUCACACCCGUGGAGCAGGCAGUAGCUAAGAUGUUCCUGUGUCAGGCCCUGCUCCCUGAGGGUUUCUGCCAGGGCUGCCCACAGGCAGCUUGUCUGCCGGACCACCAGUCUGGCCUGUAGAAAGGUGGCCCUGCCUUAACUGCCUAGCGUGUACCUUCCUUCUAGGCGACCGGCUCUUGCCUUUUCUCCUCACUGUCCUCACUACCUCUGUAACCAUCUGGAAUGUUCUUAUUCAGUCGUUCUCUGCUCCAGUCACUCGUUCACUUGUCCACCCAUCCAUCUGCUCACCUCAAGAUGCUUUCAAGAUCGGUGACACUUGUGACUGACUGACCGCCUUGCUAGCUCUCAGCUCUUCCAACGUCUUACCCAGUUCUGGACAGAACUGAGUGGAGACAGAGUUCCCUGCUGGGACCUCAGUCACUUGGGCUAUGAUAUAAGAUACACGUUGGCACACAGCUAAGACACAGCCCCCUUCACACAGGGCUCUAACAUGCUAGCCCCAUCUGAUGUACCGAUACUGUUCUGACCCAUCUCUGCCACACAGAAUGCUCAGUAACUUCUGAUUUAUCCUCAGAGCUGGGGUGUGAAACAUGCAGUGCUGCCAGUUACUUUUAAAAAACGAGAUGGGGCCUCACUGCGUGCUGCAGGCUGGCCCAAACUCCUGGGUUCAGGUGACCCUCUCUCCGCAGCCACCCAGGAGUGGGAGGAACAGGUGUGAGAGAUACUGUGCUGGCCCUGCAUGCUUAUCAUCCUUAGCAGAGAUGUCCUUCCUGGCAGGCCCAUCACUGCAGCGUUGGGUGGGUGCAAGCAGGACCGGGAAGGUGGAGUCUACUCACAGCCAGUCUUAGUCUUCCAGGCUGGGCUUUGAUUGGCCCCUGGCAGCUUGAGGAGGCCAACAGAGGUAAGUGCAGGCUCGAAGCCCUGGAGCAUAUUCGGUGGGGUGCAGGCACUGGGGUAGCCAGGCUGAUGUGUGGACGUGAAUAGUGCCAGGGCUGUGGCAGCUACAGAUGAACUGGACAGGAGGUCCGGUCCCUGUGUGUGGUUCUGACUGCCGGGGUGUGUGACUGCUGUCCAGACAGGUCACAGCACAAAGGCUAGGCAUGGUUCCCGGAGCUCAGGGCUAGCUUGGGAUACCUGCUCAGAUUUACCCUCCCAACCACUGCCCAAGUGAGGACAGAAGACUGAGAUAUCCCAUGCCUGUGGUUGUGACAAUACUGGCAGUACUUAAGAGGGGGUCUGGGCAGAGCUUGAGGCUGGCCCCUAUUAUUUAUCUAUUGUAUUCUGCCCCCCCUGUCUUCCGCCUUCCCUCCCUUCUUUCCUUCUUCACUGCCCCUCUGUUUCUCUGUGUGUGUAUUCAUUCAAGUGCAUGUGUGUAUGUGUGUGUAUAUGUGUGUGUGUUUAUGUGCAUACUGUGUAUUCAUGUGCAUGUGGGCAUAUGAGGUUAACCUAGGGUUGCUGCGUUCCAUGGGAGCCAAUCACCUUGUUUUUUUGAGGCAAGAUCUCCCUUUGGCCUGGAGCUUGCUGAUUAGGCUGACUGGUCAGUAAGUCCAUCUGUCUCUACAUCCCAGUGCUCGGAUCCCCAGUACCCCUCCAUACCUGGCCUUUUAUGUGGUUUGGGGGAUGGAGUUCACAGCCCUUGUGCUUACACAGUGAGUGCUUCACCCAUGAAGCUGUGUCUUUAUCCCCUUAUAGAGAUAAUAUUCGUGUAUUGAAAUUCUCCAUCUUAUCCCCCAACCCACACUUUUGUUCCUUCCAGUCCUGUACAUGCCAGGCACCUGCUUUACCCCGGACUAAACCUCCAGCUUUUCCCCCUUUUCCAAAUGCAAUUUUCAUGGUUUUCACCAUCUCUUUUCCUCUGCGCGUCUGUUACCCGCUCCAACUCCAGUGCAUCCCUGUGAUUCCCGAGACAGUCUGUACCUUUGGUAGCUGAUGUAGUCCCUUCCUCUGCUCUAGCCCUCGACAGCCCAUGGACUGUCUGCCUUGUCUUUGCUUCUGGUGGUUCCUCUAAAUAGUACGUUCCUGCUGUGUGUCUUCUCUGCGACUUGGAGGUUUUACUCCUCUGUGGAUGGAGGUUUGUCUACCAUGGUCUUAGGAAUCAGUGUGCCACAAGCUCUGUGGUGGCGCCUUCCUCACUCUGACUUAACUUAUUCCUCAUGACCUUGCUGCCCACAUCUUCAUUAAUAGCUGUCUGCUUUCCUGGGGUGCAUUAUGCCCUGAGUCUGGGCACAGGCUUUGUCCUGCCCUGGCACUGCUGUGGCAUAAGCUCACUCAUGCCACCUCACCAGUCUCAUUGUUUGUUCCGCUUGGUAAGCUGUCCCCAGCCUUCUUUGGUCCUCGGUCCAGUAUGCUUUGGGAGCUAGGCUCUCAUCAUACCUGCUAGGGACAUUAAUGUUUGGCAUCAGGUGUGUAAGAUCACAGGGAGGAGCAGAGCUUGUAAGGACACGGGUGUGGAACUUCUGGCUAGUGAGGAGCCCAGUAGCAUGCCAGUGCAUGAGCCCACGUAGUCUGAGGCCCUGCCCUAUGGCAGUCUCAUCUUUGGCGUUUCUUCUUAGCAGAUCCCCCUUGGAGCUCAAUUCCUGAUCCCAUAGGCUCCCGAGUCUUGUCCGGAAGCCUUUGAGCACAGCCUGCCUCCUCAGGGAUCCACAAGCAUUCUUUCACCCUGAAGACCAUCGCCCACUAUGCAUGUGCUUGCGGCUUCUCAGCUUGGCUCACACCAGGAAACUCUCCUCUUCUUGCUUGCACAGACAGCACUGUGCACAGAGCCGGCAAUCACCUUGGGCAAGUACUGCUGAGAGCCAAGAGCAUCCUUUAGUGCCACUCCUUGGUGAAGCAGUUUAUGCCUUUUUGUAGAUCUGACUUUGUCCUCUGCCUCCAGAGAGCCUCCACAGCUGUUCACUAAGGCCUUUGGUUUGCCUUGAAACAUGGAAAAGGAUAGAGCUGCAUGCAGCAGCAGGUAGGGGUGGGUGGCCAGUCUUCGGGAUGCUCAGUCGCCACACGUUAUUAAUCUAUAUCCCUUUCCUGCCGCAAGCUGACCACGACGUGUGCUGUUGCAAGACAUGUGAGGGUGUGCUGGAUAGUUUUAUGUCAUCUUGACAUAAAGUCAUCUGAGAGGAGGGGACCUCGUGAGAUCAGGCUGCAGGCAUGUCUGUAGGGUAUUUUCUUAAUUAGAGAAUGAUGGGGGAGGGCCCAGCCCAUCGUGGGUGAUGUCAUCCCCAGGCUGGUGGCCCUGGGUUCUAUAAGAAAGCAGGCUAAGCAAGCCAGAGGGAGAAAGCCAGUAAGCAGCACUCCUCCACGGCCUCUGCAUCAGCUCCUGCCUCCAGGCUCUUGCCCUGUUCGAAUUCCUGUCUGAUCCCCUUCAGUGAUGAACAGUGAUGCAGACACAUAAGCCAGAUAAAUCCAUUCGUCCCCAGGUUGCUUUGGUCCAGCUGUUUCAUCACAACAAUGUUAACCCUAACUAGGAUGGAAGGGACACAGGUCAGGGACACCCCCUUCCUCCUAGUGCUCAGGAUGUUGAUUGUGCCCGUCACACCAAAGGCCAGAGUAAAACAUGGAGGAAGGAGGAAAGCAUCAAGAGGCUGACCUUUUAUUUUAUAUUUUACCGAGUGUGCGAGUCAGUACCUAGGUAGAGUAAAAGAGGCUUCCCUAAGCCGGUGCAUCCUGUUUUUUCUAGGAAGAACCGAGGCACGGGGUCCCCCUCUUGACCUCUCUUGAGGAUGGGGCAGAGCCGUGGUAUGGCUUCCUUCUGGCUUUGUGAAAGCCAGGCCUCCUGGACAGUGGCUGCCCCCAGGGAGUUCUUGAAGCCUCAGGAGACAGACUUGUCAUAGUUCCCAGUCUGAUCUGCGUAUGCUAUGUGGAGCCGUGCUGUACAUUGUGUUUCUGCUGAACCUCAUGAGUCCAGCAGGGGCCUGACCGAGUGAGGUGAGACAAUGGAAGGUGUCUGUGCUGAGGUUUAGCCAGGGGACCAUGCCCCAGGAGCCACACUGCCAGGUGUUCGUGGUUACCUGCUGUCCUUAGGGUGUGCCCUGAGUUGUACUUUAUACUGAUCUCAGCAUGGCCUGCUGACCUCGCUAGGCUAGGUGAGCCUUGGGCUGGGUAGCUGGGCAUGGGACAUCGGGGCAGGGUGGAAGCAGGCAUGGUGGCUCUGAUGGAGAAUAGAGGUGCAUUACUCGGCCUAUGCUCUGCUUCAUCCAAGUGUCCACAGGUGCAUGACCACAUAUAGUGCAUGUACAUGUCAUAUGUAUAUAGUACACCUCUGUGACACCUGCCAGCCGCCAUGUCACACCCACCAAUGGAGGGAGAGGGCUUCCCGUGCUAUAACUGUGGCUUCUCCCUGGCCACACGGAUUCCAAGAUUGACUACUUUUGACACUUAGUCUCCAGCUCCUCACUCCUGGCUCUGGCCCCCUGACCUUCCUUCCUGCUCAGUUGGGAGCGCAGUUUAUGAUGGCUUCAUCUCUGGGUCCCAUCCUCUCGAUGUAUUUUCUUUGUUUCCAGGAUCAUUGUGAAAAGUUUGUAUGGCAAAGGUUUCUACUUUUUCCUGAUUCUUUGUGAAUUUCCCAUCAUGCACCCCGAUCCAACUCAUUAUACCCCCGUCCCUUUGUACCUGCCCUCCACCCCUACAACCUUCCUCUCCAAAGGAAAAAGAAGAUAGAAUAAUAAAAAGAAAUUUUGCCAUGGAGGCUGUAGUGUGUUAUACAGUAUACCGGUUUGUCCACGCUUCUUCACUUGCAAGUGUUCACUGCAGCGAGUCCCUGGCCUGUUUGGAGGCCUCUGGCUUCUGCUACACUAUCAAUGCUGGGUCCUCACAGGGAUAUCCUGUUGCUGUCCUGUGUCGUGGAGAUCCUGCAGCUUUGAAUCUGCAGGACUGGCCCUAUCACACACUCCAGCAGUUCAUAGCUGGGGUAGAUGUUGAGGUGGGCCAACUCAAAGCCCUGGAUCUGGGUCUGGGUGAUGGCUGAGUUGGUCAGCCUGCCAGUUCGCCUGUGUUCCUCUCACUAGGGCCAGCUCUCCUACACUGCCCUGGCUUGCUUGCUCACCCAAUGUUGCAGCAGGGGGCAGGGCCAGCUCUUCCUCUUUCACACCCUCAUGGCCAGCUCAUCCACCCCCUGCCACCCACCUUGGUUAACAGUACUGUGUUGCCCAGGUGAGGUGCAGGGCCUACUGUCCUGAGUCCUCCAGCUCUCAGGGCUAGUUCUCCCACCUGCCCCAGCAGGAAGGGGCCAGGGUAGGAAAGCCAUCUUUCACCCAAGCCACCCCAUGGCUGACUAGGGGCAGGGCCAGCUCUCCCAUGAUCAUGCCCUCAAGGUUGACUCCCCAACUCCCCUGCCAAUCACAGUCAGUUCUACUUUUCUCUCCCUGCGAGGGGCAGGACAGCUCAAUAUAGUGCCUCAGGCAAGGCAUCUGCAUGGUCCUUGGUGGUAACAGGGGCCUGGGACAUCAACACAGACUCUAGCUACAUAUGCAGAUGUGGCUCUGGCAGCAGCCUGGGCCUGGAUGUCCCCAUGGCCUCAGGUGGCAGAGGAGGCCAUUCAGAUCUGCAUGCUGCCCCCUUUAGCAGUACAUCCCUCCCAUAUCUACAGGCUGUCCAGUGUUAGCACAGACCACAGGCAUUUGCUUAGCCUUUGGUGGUAAUUCAGGUAACAGACAUUGACACAGAUCCCAGCUGCAGCAGGACCAUGGACCCAGACAUGGCUCUUGGUGGCAGCCCGGGCCAAAACCCCACCAUGGCCUCCUCAUAUCUGCCUGUUUCUCACAGCUAGCUCCACCUUUCUCCACAGUGUAUGAACCCUCAGAUUCACUUUUUCUUCUAUCUAUCAUAUACGUCAUCUUUCCUAUGUCUCCAUCGCACAUUCAGCCAUUGGAGUGGCACAUGCCGCAGGCACUUGGGUGUCUGGGUGUCUUUUCUUCUGGCCUCCUAGGGUUGAUGGUACUGGGGCAGGCGCUUGGUUGUCUUUCUUCCUCUCUUCUGCUGCCCCAGCAGGGGUGAAGAUUCUACUCUCUCUUCAGGAGUUUUGAUACCUACCUAGGAGAGGAGUUGCUGGUUAUGUCGCUGGGGUGACUUGGAAAGAAAUGGCCUUUUGUGAAAGGCGCUGAGCAGCAGGCGUUCACUGGCUCUCUACCCUCACAGGGCCACGCUGGGUGCUGGUGAUCUCAGUCACUGCACGUGGCUUUUAAUCUGCACUCUCCUCAUGGGCUUUAGCCAUUUGCACUCUCUCCGUGUCUGUCUGUUCAGCCUCAUUGUUGCUGUUCUCUUGGGUUGUCAUGAUGUGAGUUUGCCUCCUCUGUACACAAGGGCUUUGUCAGAUGCCUGUAAUUGAAUGUUUUCUUGUAGACUAUGGCUUAUGUUACUUCUCUUAACUGUGGCCUAUUGAAGGUUAUGCACUUUGCUCUUUGGAUCAUUCCUUCGAUGCCUUUUCUGUUUGUAUGCUGCCUGAGAAGACUUUGACCGGCACAGGGUUACAGAGUGUCCUCUUCUCACGUCAUUGCAGAUGUAGAAGCUCCAACAUGCAUGUCUGCGAUGCACACUGCUUCUCUGUGUGAGGGAAUUUGAGGUCUUGUUGGCUGAGAGGUGGUUCUUUCUCUGUGGCUCACUUAGCUCUUGUCUCCUUCCAUUCAGGUGAGUGUUUGUCUGAAUAGCUGCUUCCGCCAGAGUUGCACCGUCCUGAUUGCAGGGUCUGUAAAAUGCGGCUUGAAAUAAGUUGGGAAAUGAUCCCUCCAUUUUCUGAGGAGUUUAUGCAGGAUCAAUGUGAUCUUUCCUGUAAACAUUCGGCAGAGUUUGCCAGGGAGGCCUUCUCAGUCUGGAGUUUCCAUUGGGAGAGAUACUGAACCGUAGCUCAGUUUCCUUCAGGCUGCAGGGGUGCCCGCGGUGUCUGCUGCUUCUCAAGUGACCUGAUUUUUAGAGGCCUUACACAUCUCAAGUAAACUGUCAGAGCAGUGGAACAUGGUGUGUCCUCUUCCUGUCUGUAGGAUCUGCAGUGGUGUCUGCCCUUCUAUGGUUGGUGUUGCUGGUCUGUAUUGGUCCCCUACCCCUCCUCUCUACCCCUCCCUCCCUCCCUCCUUCCUUCCCUCCCUCCCUUCCUUUCCCUCCCCCUGUAUGUGUUUUCUCUCUCUCUCUCUCUCUCUCUCUCUCUCUGUGUGUGUGUGUGUGCGCGUACUCUUGCGCGUGUGCGUGUGCGUGUGCGUGUGCGUGUGCGUGUGCGUGUGCGUGUGUGUGUGUGUGUACAGGGUCUGGCUGUGUAGUCCUGGCUGACAUCUAGCUUGCUACGUAGAACAUGCUGAUCUGGAACUCAGGACCUCAUGGUGAUCCUUGUUUGUCUGCCUCCCAGUUGCUGGGAAUCUAGGAUUCUGAGUGUGUACUACCACACCCAGGAUUGCUCUUUUGUUUUGAUUGUCUGGUAUAACUUUAUUGUUUCAGAUAAUCCAAGAUAGAAUUGGAGUUAAUGCAACUAAUGUAAAGUUAUCAAUUUCUAAGAAGCAGGCUCUGGUUGCAUUGAUUCUUCUCUGAUGUUGGUUGAUUUUUUUUUUUUUUCAUCUUCUUUGCUUUCUCCCUUCUGCCUCUUUUGGGUCAGACUUGCUUUUGUUAUUUUUAGUUCAUCAACUGAGACAAUUCUUCUUAUCUGAUACAUGUUCGUGGAUAUAAAUUUCCCUCUGUGUAUUGCUUUACUUGUAUACAUUAAACAUACCACUUCCAGUUUAUGCAGUUCAUAUUUUCAGAUUUGCCUCGUAAUUUCUUGUUUUACUUACUUAUUAAAAGAGUGUGGCGCCUAAUUUUAGAUAGCUACGUGUAUUCACAGGCACUUUUGUGCUGUUAAUUGUUAAGUCUCUUCUGUUCGAAGGAUGUGAUUUUUUUUUUUUUUUGGUAUGGUAACUGCUGUUAUAAACAUGUAGAGACUCGCUUUAUGGCCUGAAACGUGACACAUCCUAAUGAGCAUCGUCAUGUCCUGUCGGGAGCGUGUGCUUAGCCCCUGUUGGGUGGCAUUGGCCAGUGCUGUGUUCAAGUCUCUGUGUCCUCACUGACUUCUGUCCACUUGCUCUGUUGUCUGCCGUGACUUACCUCUGACUGUGGGUUUGCAGUUUCUCCUCCCAGCCCUGUCCGUUUGCCUUCACCUAUGCUCAAGCUGUGUUAUUAGGUGUGUUCCAUUUGUCAUUCAACCUCAUGCAAAUGUCCUUCUCUUGUCCCUGGCUGUUGGUUCUGAAUGCUGCUAUCUGAUGUCAGUUUGUCCACUGUGUAUUUUCCAUCCCUUCCACCUAGCCAUAUCUGUUCUGUAGUAGAGUUAUGCCACAUUCCGUGUGAGUCCUUGCUUCUCACCGCCUCGGUUGGCAGCCUCUGCUCUGUGAUUGAGUUCAUGCUGUUGGAUGGAGCCUGUGGAAACUGGAAGGCCUCGUGUCUCACCUUCUCUACUAUGAAGUAGUACAGGGACAUUUCAAAUGUGCAGCUGAAGAAUGGAUCAUUUUAUUUAAUUUCAGUUCAUUACACUUUACUUUCAGACUCCACCCUGGCUAGGGGUUGCUGGCCUGGCCACCUCCUGUCUAGCUUUUUUCAUCCAUGCUGCAAAUGCCAGGGGUUGCUUCCACUCUGCCCACUUGAUGCAUGCUUUCCAACAUUUGGUUGGAGCAGGCUCUCACCUUUUGGUUUGUAGACCAUUAACUAUCUACUCAGCACCUAUUUUUGAAAUAUAUUUUCAGUAUUUCAAUAUGGUGGUCUCCCUUUCCCUAUCCCUCCCUUUCUUGGAGCAAUUGAUCAAUUGAUUAGUAUCCAUUUUUACCAUUGUUAGGGCUUAGUAGCGAUUUCUAUGUACUAUCUUAGUGGUUGCUUUCUAGUUCACAGUAUGUACCUUUAACUCUUAGGCCCGCCUUCAAACCUACGCCCCUCUGCCUGUACAGCUCUUGCUGCCCUUGUUCAUUCAUAAGUAUUUUGUCUGUUCCCACCAGUAUGCUAACAGCCAUCAUUAAUGUUAUUACCGAUCUUACUUUAACAGGCAGUUUUCCUUUAGAUACACAGAAGUGAGAAGAUGCCAUCUAAACCUCUCUCCCUCUGCACCACCCUGGCUUUCUUCAGCUCUUUAGCUCUUUAUUUAGACUGAGAUUUCCUUUGCUUGGUGCUUCUGACCUGAAUAACUUACUUCAACACAUUCUGUGGUGCACAUUUGGUUGGAACAGGCUCUCACUCUUUAUUUGUAGAAAAUAAAUAUCUACUCCACAUCUAUUUUUGAAACAGAUUUCCAGUGAGUAUGAGGUUCAGUUGGAAGGUUUUUUUCCCCCUUCCUUUCUGUAUUUAAAGGUGCUACACUUUACCAUCUCCCUCCGACCCACCAUAAGCCCUGUGUGCUGGGCGGGACCUCCUCUGCCCUUGGGAGCUGUCUGCUUUCCAGUGGCCUCAGCGUGGCUUAUUGCCUGGGGCUUAUUGACACUUAGCUUCUUCAGUUUAUAGUUUCAUAGUAUUUGGAUGCUUUUGGUCAUUCAUUUCGAAGUCUCUUUUGGUCGUUUGCUUAUGUGCCCCUCUUCCCAUGUGUGCCCUGGAUUUUGUGGUGUGGCCAGGGAUCCUCCACCUCCUUUCUUUGGCCCCCCUUUUUUGGUUUAGUGUCUCCUGUCCUUUUUCCUGCCCACUAGCCCCUUUAUUUUACUCCAUGAUUACCCACAAGCUGUCGACAGUUACUUCCAGUAUUCCCACUGCUUCAGCCCUUCCCCUGGUGCUGAGGGCUGCACUCAGGCCAUGGCCACUGAGUCGCAUUCCCUUUACAUAUGUAUUUUAGCCCUCUCUGGGUUUACAGCUCCCUGGGAUCCUUGCUCCCCUGAAAUUGUUCUUUCCUUGGCUCCAUGGGACUUUGGCUUAUAUAGGCACAAAUCUGUGCCUGGCUGGAGGCUGGUGCCCUGGGGUAGAGUUCCAGAGUGCCUCAUCUGCGGCCCUCUCACUGGCUGUACCAGCCCGCUUGUAGCAGCUAUGCCUCAUCGUGCCUAGGGUUGACUUGGUAAACCUCAGAAGCUGUUGAGUCUUCCAGGGGCCACUCCUUGCUCAGCAGGUUCAUGGGAGCAGCUCGUUUUUCUCUUACUCGCAGAAUUAUAGCACUGUAAUGAAUAUGGUCACAGGUCAGAGAGUCCUUUCCAGUGUUUGAUGGGUUUCCAGCAAUAAGAGGGGUCUCAGGUCAGCUUAGGGCCAUGCAUCAGAAGAGUGGGGUUUGGCUUAGUUUUGCCUCGGUCUGUAUGCAGCCUAGGCUGGUCUGGAACUCUCCAUCUUACAGCGGACUUCCAAGGCUUCCAAGGACUGCAGAGAUGUGAUUAUCACACCUGACAGCCACAAAGGACCAGAGCUAGGCCCCUCCCUCCCCCCAGUGCCCAGCUACAAUUCUGCCUUCUCUGCAGGCCUCGUGUGGUUGGCAGAGAUACCAGCCCUGCAGAGUCUGUGCUGCUUCCUCUCAGUUCAGCGUUGGCCUGCCAUUUGCCUGUGUUGGUGCAGCACUGGCCAUGGGGUAUGUAGGACCUUGCAGGCUCACUAAAAGACAUCAGAUGCAGCAUGCCAGAGCGGAGCGGUGAGGUAUACUGGGAGUUUUCCAGGCUCUGGAAAAGGAAACCCUCGUAGUUUCUAGAGGCUGGAAAUAGAGAAACUAGUCUGACCCAUCUAUUAUGGUGAGAACUACCCACAUAAUUUCUCCUUGCAGGAGCUCGAGGCCCUGCAGCCUCUUUCCCUGUCAGAGAAAGCCUUGCCUUCUCUAGGUGGGCCAUAGGCAUAGGGCUUUUACCACCAAAGUAGGCAAAGAAGGACUGGGUGGAGCUUGGCUUGACACAGAGAGGAAGCGGGCUGGAAUAGACUGCGCAGAAGGGGACAUGCGGCCUGUGAAGAGUCGGUAUCUCAGGAGGAGGUCAACCCCUAAGACCCUUCAGCAGUUCUAGUGUGAAUACGGAGGGCUCAUAGAGCUUUCUUUCCAUUGAGAGGAAACCAGGCUGUGGUAUUGCAGUCAGCCAUGUGCAGCUACCUCCCCUGGCUCUGGUUCCCUAUCACAUUCUGACUCCGCUCCUGGACCAAUUCUGCUUCUUGGUCUGAGCACUGUCCUCACCACAAACACUUGUCACUUGGCUGCAACACCCUCACGGGGUCUGUAGGCAGCCUGAGGGACAGGGCACAGCCCGAGGCUUGGCAGUUGAUGGCUAGCAGUAGUGUGGCUGGUGGCCAGGAGUGCCCAGCAGUGAGCCUACUCCCUGAAGCAUCAGGCCUCUAGGGGACAUGGAAAAGACGGUGUCCACACUGGGUUGGUCUUUCCAGGAGAUGGUUCCAUGUAGGGCAGCUGAGGCAUGCCUCCACCUGCAGCGAAAGUCCUUGUGAGAACAUCAUUCGAGUGUCUCACGUGUCCUUGCCUAGGCAGCAUACAGUUGGGGGGCCAGUGUGCACUUGGAGUCCACUUGCUCUCAUGGUUGUCCAGCUGUUCACUAUGCCCAUGGCAGGAGCAGGGGCAGCCUCUCACACCUAGAUGGUUGUUGUUUUCAUCAUGCCCAGCCAGCUGCCUUGCCCUUUCUUCUGAGUUCCCAUUUACACAUGAUGAAUUACUCAGAGAUCAAGUGUGCAUUCUGGGAAUUCUACUGUUUUUUUUUUAAUGGUACCUGGGAUUGAACUCAGGUCCUGUCAUACUAGCCAAGCAUCCUUUAAGCUAAAUAAAUCCCCGGGCCUCUGUUCUGGGCAUCCUGACAAAUUCCUGUGCCUUUUUAUUCUUAUAUCAUCUGCUCCUGACUGUUGGGCACUCAUGCCUGUCCAUCUUCUUCUGUCACCUGCUCCUGACUGUUGUGCCCUUGUGCCUGUCCAGCUUCCAGGUCUCCUUGGCACUGGCAUUUUCCUAGCUCUGACAAAGUUUCUGUGGUAUCCUUAGGUC